rnacentral:rRNA from 1 species
UACGGGAGGGAACCGGGAAACCUUCGGGGCUUGCGCUAUCAGAUGAGCCUAAGUCGGAUUAGCUAGUUGGUGGGGUAAUGGCUCACCAAGGCGACGAUCCGUAACUGGUCUGAGAGGAUGAUCAGUCACACUGGAACUGACACACGGUCCACACUCCUACGGGAGGCAGCAGUGGGGAAUAUUGGACAAUGGGCGAAAGCCUGAUCCAGCCAUGCCGCGUGUGUGAAGAAGGUCUUCGGAUUGUAAAGCACUUUAAGUUGGGAGGAAGGGCAGUUACCUAAUACGUAUCUGUUUUGACGUUACCGACAGAAUAAGCACCGGCUAACUCUGUGCCAGCAGCCGCGGUAAUACAGAGGGUGCAAGCGUUAAUCGGAAUUACUGGGCGUAAAGCGCGCGUAGGUGGUUUGUUAAGUUGAAUGUGAAAUCCCCGGGCUCAACCUGGGAACUGCAUGCAAAACUGGCAAGCUAGAGUAUGGUAUAGGGGGGGGGGGGAAGUUUCCUGUGUAGCCAGUGAAAUUGGAGUAUAUUUA